UACAGAGGUCUCAAGCGUUGUUCGGAUUCAUUGGGCGUAAAGGGGGUGUAGGUGGCGCGCUAAGUCGGGUGUGAAAUUUCGGAGCUUAACUCCGAAACUGCAUUCGAUACUGGCGUGCUUGAGGACUGGAGAGGAGACUGGAAUUCAUGGUGUAGCAGUGAAAUGCGUAGAGAUCAUGAGGAAGACCAGUGGCGAAGGCGGGUCUCUGGACAGUUCCUGACACUGAGACACGAAGGCCAGGGGAGCAAACGGG
rnacentral:rRNA from 1 species